rnacentral:lncRNA from 1 species
AUUUGCUACAAAUUUACCUCUUCAUCGACAAAGGAACAUGAAAAACAUUGAAAAUAUUAUGAUACAUCGCUGUGUUUACAAGAAGCAUAAGAACCGUUAUAAAGUGUCAGUUAAUAGUACUUCAGCGUCUAACAAUCGUCAACGAUUUGUACUUCAGCGUCAAACACGCGUCAUUAAACGUCAACCACUGUCAUUCAAGCGUCAAACAAUAGUUCAUCACCG